UACGUAGGGUGCAAGCGUUGUCCGGAAUUAUUGGGCGUAAAGAGCUCGUAGGCGGUCUGUCGCGUCGGCUGUGAAAACUCGGGGCUCAACCCCGAGCCUGCAGUCGAUACGGGCAGACUAGAGUGCUGUAGGGGAGACUGGAAUUCCUGGUGUAGCGGUGAAAUGCGUAGAGAUCGGGAAGAACAUCGGUGGCGAAGGCGCUCUACUGGACCACAACUGACACUCAGGGACGAAAGCUAGGGGAGCGAAUGGG
rnacentral:rRNA from 1 species